GGUUGUGUAGUGUAGUGGUUAUCACUCGAGAUUUUGAGAUCGUCACGUGUGCCACGUGUUCAAUAUUACGUAAUUCUCGUAACCCCGGUUCGAGCCCGGGCACGACCU